AGACUCUGGUGCUGCAGGGAUGUGAGGAAGAGUUCUGGCUGUUAGAGGAGGCUCCUGAUAUGGACAGUGGGAUUUAGGCACAUAUUUCCUGCCUAAGGGAGCACCUUCACCUACAUACUACCAUAUGUAAUCAUCACACAACUGGUCUUAUGGAUUAGUGGGAAGGAGCCUGUCAUGACCACCUCAGAGGACACAGUGCAAUAUGCUUUUCUGCCUUUGUGUAAAUUUUUCUCUCCAACAUCAGAGUUGUCCUGAAUAGAAAAGGCUCACGUGAGCUCCUAAGAUCCAUUUUUUUAAACUAUGGUGAAGAAAAGUCCCCAUGAAAUCUGAAUUUGCCGACCUAGAAUUCUUAAUUUCAUGUGGACUGAGAAAAGGCAGCUAUUUUAAACCGGGAUUGUGUGAGAUUUUAGUGUAGUCUUCCAGCCUGCCUCUAUGGUAAGCUUUUACAG
rnacentral:lncRNA from 1 species